GUGUGUGUGCUAACAUCUCCUAAAUGCUCCUACCAGCUUUCUGACUUUGGCAAAUGAUUUGACUCCUCUCACCUGGCCUAGGAGCAACACCACUGCUGAUGAGAGCAGAUCCUUUCCCUCAAUAGAUUAGCAUCAUUCCAUUCUUACUGUGUAGUAGAAUUGGUAGUGAUAGAGUGGGUGAAUCUAUGUGAUGUAGAGAUACACUAAGAUAAUGCAAAAAUAUAUAUUAGUUCCGCUAAUGCUUACCAGUGAAUUCAAGUCUCCUUAUUUGAAGGUCCAACACUUGUGCAUACUGAUUUGUGUGCUUUCUGGUUUAGGGAGGAGCUGCAUGCUCUGUACCAGCUCAUCCUUGUCCUGCUCGAGGAGCAGGAGGAGGAGGGGCGCAUCUAGCCAGCCACAAAGGGCCUGCUCUGUACGACCACGUCAUCGGCCUGCUGCAGCAUCGAGUUCAAUAUGUCAGGAGCUCGAGGUCUACAAAAUUUGAAGAUUGAAACCAUAUAGCUCUACUCAGCAAAGAGCCGUCUCUUCUGUUUGAUUGUAAUAGAAUGUAAAUAUUGCAAUAUUGUAAUAGUAGGCAUAUCUGGGUUGUAAUAACUAUGUACAAAUUGUAGUAGACUUAGUGUUAUUUGACGUACUACAUCUGUACUGUUCCGUUUGAAAUAAUGAUUAUGUAUGUGAUUUGAAAACGUGUGGAAUGGAAACCUGACUUGUGGGA